rnacentral:rRNA from 1 species
AAGAUUUAUCGGCAAGGGAUGGGCCUGCGUCUGAUUAGUUAGUUGGUGGGGUAACGGCCUACCAAGGCGACGAUCAGUAGCCGACCUGAGAGGGUGAACGGCCACAUUGGAACUGAGACACGGUCCAAACUCCUACGGGAGGCAGCAGUGGGGAAUCUUGCACAAUGGGCGAAAGCCUGAUGCAGCAACGCCGCGUGAGCGAAGAAGGCCUUUGGGUCGUAAAGCUCUGUCGGUAGGGAAGAAGGAAGUGACGGUACCUACCGAGGAAGCCCCGGCUAACUACGUGCCAGCAGCCGCGGUAAUACGUAGGGGGCGAGCGUUAUCCGGAAUUAUUGGGCGUAAAGAGUACGUAGGCGGUUUUUUAAGCGAGGGGUAUAAGGCAGCGGCUUAACUGCUGUUGGCCCCUCGAACUGGAGGACUUGAGUGUCGGAGAGGAAAGCGGAAUUCCUAGUGUAGCGGUGAAAUGCGUAGAGAUUAGGAGGAACACCAGUGGCGAAGGCGGCUUUCUGGACGACAACUGACGCUGAGGUACGAAAGCGUGGGGAGCAAACAGGAUUAGAUACCCUGGUAGUCCACGCCGU